AGGAGCACGCAUGCGGAUGGGGAUCCUACUUUAAUCGACUAAAGCGUGAAUGCGAAUGCGUCAUAGAUUGUGCACGUGACUGUGGAACUAGCACGCCCUCUCUUGGUGACAGUUUGCCUCAGACAGUAGUUUUAGGCGGUCAACAGUUUUCUACCCACUGUAUGAACACAGCCGGUCACAUCUGGACGAUGAUACAAAGGAGAGUUAACGGUUCUGUUGAUUUCUACAGAGGAUGG